rnacentral:rRNA from 1 species
CCUACGGGAGGCAGCAGUGGGGAAUAUUGCACAAUGGGGGAAACCCUGAUGCAGCGACGCCGCGUGAGUGAAGAAGUAAUUCGUUAUGUAAAGCUCUAUCAGCAGGGAAGAAAAUGACGGUACCUGUGUAAGAAGCCCCGGCUAACUACGUGCCAGCAGCCGCGGUAAUACGUAGGGGGCAAGCGUUAUCCGGAUUUACUGGGUGUAAAGGGAGCGUAGACGGCAGUGCAAGUCUGGAGUGAAAGGCGGGGGCUCAACCCCCGGACUGCUCUGGAAACUGUACGGCUGGAGUGCAGGAGAGGUAAGUGGAAUUCCUAGUGUAGCGGUGAAAUGCGUAGAGAUUAGGAGGAACACCAGUGGCGAAGGCGACUUUCUGGACAGUAACUGACGUUGAGGCACGAAAGUGUGGGGAGCAAACAGGAUUAGAUACCCCUGUAGUC